AGUGAAGUUAGUGACCUGUAACCACUCCUGUGUGUGCAUCAUCGUCCUAUCUUGUAUAGGAGCUCUAGCUAGCUGCAACUAGUUAGCGUUGUAGGAUUAAGUGUGAGCAUGGUGCUCAUACUUAAGAUUACCUUUGAUUACCGCUGGCUUGAACGGAAAGUAGGAGCACACUCCCUAGUAGGUGACAGAUCGUGGGCGGCAUUAGGUUCUCCUCACGUACAGGCUAGUUCUUAAAAGGUAAGGCGUCCAUAAGCGCAAUAGUCGCUUUCGGU
rnacentral:lncRNA from 1 species